rnacentral:rRNA from 1 species
CAGUUAAGUUGAUUUCUUCGGAUUGAUUCUUGACUGACUGAGCGGCGGACGGGUGAGUAACGCGUGGGUGACCUGCCCCAUACCGGGGGAUAACAGUUGGAAACGACUGCUAAUACCGCAUAAGCGCACAGGAUCGCAUGGUCCGGUGCGAAAAACUCCGGUGGUAUGGGAUGGGCCCGCGUCUGAUUAGGCAGUUGGCGGGGUAACGGCCCACCAAACCGACGAUCAGUAGCCGGCCUGAGAGGGCGACCGGCCACAUUGGGACUGAGACACGGCCCAAACUCC